rnacentral:rRNA from 1 species
CUAGCAAGUAUAACCCAACAAAAAGAAUUAAGCUGGACACCCCGAAACCGGACGAGCUACUUUAAGACAAUAAUCGAAUUAAUCCAUCUCUGUGGCAAAAGAGUGGAAAGAUCUUAAAAUAGCGGCAAAAAACCUAACGAGCCCGGAUAUAGCUGGUUACUUGAGAAUGAAUUUAAGUUCAAUUAAAAGCAAUUUUCACCAACAAGGACUCUACUUUUAUUUUAACAAAUUAAGGUACAACUUAAUUAGUAAAGGGAACAACCUAAAUAAAUGAGUAAAGAUUAUAUUCAUUAAGGAUUACAGCCCAGUAGACUUAAAAGCAGUCACCAUACAAUAGCGUUAAAGCUUAACCAAUAUAAC